rnacentral:rRNA from 1 species
GAUGAACGCUGGCGGCGCGCCUAACACAUGCAAGUCGAACGGUUAAAAACACCUUUUAGGUGUGUAUAAAGUGGCGAACGGCUGAGUAACACGUGGGCAACCUGCCCUCCUCUUGGGGAUAGCCUCGGGAAACCGAGGAUAAUACCCGAUACUUCAAUGUGGCCGCAUGACGACAUUGAGAAAGCUUUUGCGGAGAAGGAUGGGCCCGCGGCCUGUUAGCUUGUUGGUGGGGUAGAGGCCUACCAAGGCAAUGAUGGGUAGCUGGGUUGAGAGACCGACCAGCCAGAUUGGGACUGAGACACGGCCCAGACUCCUACGGGAGGCAGCAGUGGGGAAUCUUGCACAAUGGGCGAAAGCCUGAUGCAGCGACGCCGCGUGCGGGACGAAGGCCUUCGGGUCGUAAACCGCUUUCAGCAGGGACGAGGCGAUAAGUGACGGUACCUGCAGAAGAAGCCCCGGCUAACUACGUGCCAGCAGCCGCGGUAAUACGUAGGGGGCAAGCGUUAUCCGGAUUCAUUGGGCGUAAAGCGCUCGUAGGCGGUCUGUUAGGUCGGGAGUUAAAUCCGGAGGCUCAACCUCCGCCCGCUCCCGAUACCGGCAGACUUGAGUUUGGUAGGGGAAGGUGGAAUUCCUAGUGUAGCGGUGGAAUGCGCAGAUAUUAGGAAGAACACCAGUGGCGAAGGCGGCCUUCUGGGCCAUAACUGACGCUGAGGAGCGAAAGCUAGGGGAGCAAACAGG